rnacentral:rRNA from 1 species
UACAGAGGUGGCAAGCGUUGUUCGGAAUUACUGGGCGUAAAGGGCUCGUAGGUGGCCAACUAAGUCAGACGUGAAAUCCCUCGGCUUAACCGGGGAACUGCGUCUGAUACUGGAUGGCUUGAGUUUGGGAGAGGGAUGCGGAAUUCCAGGUGUAGCGGUGAAAUGCGUAGAUAUCUGGAGGAACACCGGUGGCGAAGGCGGCGUCCUGGACCAACACUGACACUGAGGAGCGAAAGCCAGGGGAGCAAACGGG